UACGAAGGGGGCUAGCGUUGCUCGGAAUCACUGGGCGUAAAGGGUGCGUAGGCGGGUCUUUAAGUCAGGGGUGAAAUCCUGGAGCUCAACUCCAGAACUGCCUUUGAUACUGAAGAUCUUGAGUUCGGGAGAGGUGAGUGGAACUGCGAGUGUAGAGGUGAAAUUCGUAGAUAUUCGCAAGAACACCAGUGGCGAAGGCGGCAUACUGGACCACCACUGACGCUGAUGCGCGAAAGCCAGGGGAGCAAACGGG
rnacentral:rRNA from 1 species